AUGAAACUUGUAUCUUAUCUUAUUUUCUGCUCUGGAAAAUUUAAUACACAAGAAGUUAUGUUCAUGCUGUUUCAUCUUGCCAUAGCCUUUGGAACUCUAAACCUUUGCCACAUUAGAUGGUAUAAGUGUGCUUGAGGAUAACCAGAUAAGCUUUUUGACGCAGAAUCAUAUGAAUAGUUUUCCUAAUUCUAUUUGGAUUAGUUUUCCUAAUUGGGUUAAGGAUUCCUUGUUGAAGGAUUUCUUAUUUGUUAAUUUGUUAUCCUAUUUCUUAAAGUUUACUUUUCGUUUUCCUAAACUAAAAAGGGUUUUGUUUCUAUAAAUAGAGCAGUUUGUAAUCUUGUAAGGCAGACUUGAUUAACGAUAAAUGUCCUUACUUUAAACUCUCUGAUUCCUUCCCUUUCCCUUCGUCUCUUCGAUCUCUAAUUCUUCUCCUCGAUCUCUUAUUUCUUCUCUGUUCUAUUGCUCAAGUGUUUACUCUAAUACCUACGGGUUGUUCUACAUCAAUUGGUAAUCAGAACCUUCCCUCACUUUCACUUGCAUUUGCUCUCUGCCAUGGCACCCCAAACCGUGGCCAGCCUUGCAGAACAAUGUCAUGUGUUCCAAGACAAAGUUUCUGACGAUAUCGCUGGCAUUGAAACCCAACUCUCCAAGCUCAGCGCUGACCACAAAGAAGAGUUGGUACAGGCUCACAAACAUAGUGCAACGAUGGACUUUGCCAUCACCAAACUCCAAGACUCUGUUCAGUUGCUUAUCAAUCACUUUCGGGUUGGACACGCUGAACCUUCUUCUACCUCUGCAGUGCUCUUGAGUUCGUGAAGUCCGUUGAUUCCGUCCGCAUAUUUUGGAAGAUGCAUCUUGCCGCGCAUUGGAAGCUGAAAUUUUUGUGUCCACAACGAAGAUACACCGGGUAUUCCGGGCACUCUUCCACUCCUACUCCAAAUCCUAAUACUCCUAGCUCCAAAUAUGGCAUUGCCGGUCCACCUGCUCCUACGAUACCCGCAACAUAAAAAGGACCAUCGCCAUCCAUGGUUGCUCACAUCGAAUGCUAUCGUUGCCACGCUAAGGGCCACAUCGCCUCUUGUUGUCCCCACAGAACUUUAACCAUUGGCUCCCUCAAUGAGCAUGUGGAGCCCCUUGAACCUAUUUAUAAUCUGGAACUUGAUAAUUCCUAUGUGGAGGCGUCAUUUCACCUAGUGUUAUGCGUUGUAUUUAUUCAACAUCUACACCUCCACCUCCUGAUUCAUGGAAAGUAUCUUUCAAACCUGUCCCUUGCGGUACCAAUAGAUGCCAACUAGUUAUUGAUGGGGGAAGUACGCAGAAUGUUAUCUCUAAAACUGUUGUCGAUCGCCUUCACCUGCAGGCCGAGCCACAUCCCCAUCCUUUUCAUGUUAGCUGGGUCGAUAAAACCAAGUCACCUGUUAUUGAAAAUGACUUGUUCCUCUUCAACUAGGUCCCUGUCACAAGCAACUUUAUUGUGAAUUGUGAUAUCCUACCCAUGAGUGUCUCACACGUGCUACUAGGCUGGCCAUGGCUUUACAACCGUUGUGUGAAAAGUUGCGGCAGAGAGAACACCUAUACUUUUCAACAUGAGGGAAGGAACAUAACGCUAAAGCCUUCCAAUCUGGCCAUCAAACCAACUAAGGAUGUUCAACCAACCGUCACUUAAAGAGAAGGCUUCGGAGCAUUGAUUGAGUAUUUUAUCGCCUGUAGACUUUGCACACGAAACUGCAAGACACUGGUGUGGUCUUUGCUCUCUAGCUUAAAUCGGCAUCUGACAGCACCCCCACUUUACUUGCCGAACCCAUAAAGCAGCUCCUCACUAAAUUCUCUGAUGUCAUACCUGAUGACUUACUUGUUGAACUACCUACAACGAGAAAGAUUCAUCCUGCCAUUGACCUUAUUCUUGGUUUGCAAAUUCCUAAUCUUCCCCAUCAUCAUAUGAAUCCACCUGAGCGAGCGGAAUUGAAUCGACAAAUUCAGGGGUUGCUGGAUAAGGGCUUUAUUUGUCAUAGUUUAAGCCCUUGUGCUGUUCCAAUUCUCCUUACCCCAAAAAGGGAUGGCUCCUGUCGAAUGUGUUGAUAUUCGCAUCGUAAAUAAAAUUACAAUUAAGUGUCAUUUCCCCUUAUUGCGACUUGAGGAUAUGCUGGACGACUUGGCUGGUUCCCAAUGGUUUUCUAAGAUAGAUCUUCGUAAUGGCUACCAUCAAAUCUGCAUUCGUGAAGGAGAUGAGUGGAAAACCACUUUUAAAACCCCUUGAUGGUUUAUAUGAAUGGCUUGUUAUGCCCUUUGGCAUGUCCAAUGCACCUAGCACGUUUAUGAGGGUGAUGACUCGUGUGUUACGACCUUAUAUUGGUAAAUUUCUGGUGGUUUAUUUUGAUGACAUACAUAUAUACAGCUUCUCUCAGGAGAAACAUCUCAAACAUCUUAGGACGAUAUUCUUUCCUUUACGACAGGAAAAACUGUAUGCUAACUUGAAAAAUGUUUGUUUCUUCAACCGCAAGUCUUAUUCUUGGGGUUCAAUAUUUCUACGGCCGAGGUUAGCAUAGAUCCCGCCAAGGUGGCGGCUAUUACUGGUUGGCCAGCAGCCAUGACCUUGACAAAGGAAUGUAGCUUUCAUGGUCUCGCCUCUUUUUAUCGAUGAUUUAUUCUAGGGUCCAGUACUAUUAUGGCACCAAUCACUGAUUGUAUGAAACAAGGAGCUUUUCUUUGGACCCCUACGACUGCUAAGGCCUUUUCAAUUUUGAAGCAAAAUAUUACUCAAGCGCAUGUUCUUCGACAUCCUGAUUUGACUAAAGUCUUUGAAGUCGCAUGUGCCGCUUCCGGAGUCGGGAUUGGUGGUGUGCUUAGCCAAGGACAUGUUGUAUCAUACUUUGGUGGGAACUUAAUGAAGCAAAGCAGAUUAUUCUACUUAUGAUAAGGAAUUUUAUGUUGUGAUGCAAGCACUUCGGUAUUGGCAAUAUUAACUGCCGCCAAACGAAUUUGUGUUAUAUUCAGAUCAUCAAGCUUUGAAAUAUCUCCACUCUCAACGCACCAUUAGCAGUCGACAUGUUAAAUGGUCCGAAUAUCUACAGAUCUUUAUGUUUGUUUUACGACACCACCCAUGCAUUGACAAUAAGGAAGCGAUGCCCUUAGUCGCAUGGCUACUAUUUUGCACACAAUGACAGUUCAGGUAACCAGGUUUGAUCCUAUUAAGACUGAGUAUUCAUCUUGUCCAGAUUUUGGAAUUAUUUUUCAUGAAGUUUCUAAUGGUAAUCGUCGCGAAUGUGGACUUUAUUACAAGAUAUAGGUUCUUAUUUCGUGGAACACAAUUAUGCAUUCCCCGUACUUCUCUUCAUGAAUUCCUUGUUUGGGAACUACAUGGUGGCGGCCUCUCAAAGAUAAAACUAUGGCCUUGGUGGAAGAUCAUUUUUAUUGGCUGUCGUUAAAACGUGAUGCUGCUCAUCUCAUCUCCCAAUGCUGUACAUGCCAUCUAGCUAAAGCUCGCAAACGUAACAUAGGUCUAUAUACCCCUCUGUUGAUACGUCAUGCCCCAUGGAAGGACAUGAAUUUCGUGCUUGGUUUACCUAAGGCUUGAUCAUUUUUCUAAAAUGGCGCAUUUUUUGCCUUGUGCCAAAAUUACCAACGCUUCUUAUGUGGCAAAAUUAUUUUUUAAGUAGUCCGUUUGCAUGGCCUCCCCAUCUCCAUUACUUCUGCCUUGAAGUUUUCCUCUGCUUUUCAUCCCCAAAUGGAUGGUCAAACUCUCAGGUGGUUAAUCGCAGUCUUGGUGAUUUACUUCGCUGUUUAGUUGGGGAUAAGCCUGGUAAUUGGGGUUUCUUGUUGCCUGUGGCAGAGUUUGCUUAUAACAACUCAGUUAAUCGAAGUACUGAUUCUGCUACUUCGUUUGCUGAACAUAUUAGGCAACUGCAUGAUGAUGUCUGUCGGCAGAUAUCUUGCACACCGACACUUAUAAACUAAAGCCAAUGCUCAUCGUUGUCACCAGGAGUUUCAGGAAGGGGAUUUUGUUAUGGUGCGGAAUUGUGCUGAGCGUUUUCCGAAGCAAUCUUUUAAGAAGCUUCAUGCUCAUUUGCUGGGUCCUUAUUGUAUCAUUAUGAAGCUUGGGUCCAAUGCUUACUUGAUUGAGUUGCCCGCAGAUAUGCAUGUCAGUCCCAUUUUCAAUGUUGCUGAUUCAUCUCCUUAUUGGGGAACCUUUUCUCCACCUAUUUCUAUGGAUAUUGUUCAGGGUUCCAUUCCCCCUCCUGUGCCGCGUAUUCCUUCUACCAGUUCUGCCCCUACAGAUCAGAUUGCUGACGUCUUGGAUCAUGAAGUUGUGGCCUCGUCUGCUGGAGGUUCUACCCAUUAUCUGGUUCGUUGAGUUGGAAGGCCUACUACUGAGGAUACUUGGAUUACAGAAGCUUAAUUUCCCCAGUUGGAUUUCAAUCUUCUACACAGUUAUCAGGAUGCUCUUCAUGAUCUUGAUUUGGCUGCAUCUUGUCCUCCUAUCAUCCAUACUUACCAACGUCGUCAUCAUCCUUAAUCUUGGUUUACUCGCCGGUGUCGAGUUCUUUUUGGUGGGGGAGAAUGAUGCAGAAUGCAUAUGAAUAGUUUUCCUAAGUCUAUUUGGAUUAGUUUUCCUAGUUCAGUUAAGGAUUCCUUGUUGUUGAAGGAUCUCUUAUUAGUUAAUUUGUUUUCCUAUUUCUUCAAGUUUACUUUUCCUUUUCCUAAACUAAAAGGGUUUUGUCUCUAUAAAUAGAGCAGUUUGUAGUUUGUAAUCUUAUAAGGCAGGCUUGUUUAAUGAUAAAUUUCCUUACUUUAAA